CUGUACAAAAAGAAAAAAAAAAGCACAUACACCUGUAAAAUAUGUUUGAAUGCAUUGGAGAGUUAUGAAAGCUGCAUGGCCUUGAAGGGGAAGGGAAGUAUGUUCUCAGAGAGAAGAGAAGCCCAUGGAUGUCAAACCAGUGUUCUAGGUUCUCCACAUUAGAGUAUUUGUGAAUCCCAAAGCUAUGGAGGAAAGGAUGGGAAGCUGAACAGAUAUAUUGAAAAAUUUAUAGUGCUUGACAAAUAAAAACUGAAGGUCACUGUCUGAAGAAUUAUAAAGGGACAAGUGGAAGCAAAGGACCCAGCUAGAUUAUUGUAGUUCAAGAAAGAGAUGAUAAAGACAUAUAAUAAGACGACAGGCAACAAUGUGGAGCGCUGGCUAGGCAUCAGUGGAAGCUUAUGAAGGACAUGGCAAUGGCCAGGAAACACUUCACUAUGGCACAGAAGUAAGAACAGACACAACUAACUUUGCA
rnacentral:lncRNA from 1 species